GGGCUCUCUGCAUGGAGCCUGCUUCUCCCUCUGCCUGUGUCUCUGUCUCUCUGUGUCUCUCAUGAACAAAAUCUUUAAGAAAAAAAUGCUGACAUCCUGGAAUUUGGCAAACUCUGAUUAAAUUUAGUAAAUAAUAGUGAAUCGGUGUUGAUUUUCUGAUUUUGAUUACUUUAGUUGCAUAAGAGGAAGUUUUAUUUUUGUUUUUUAAAGAAAAUACACCCGGGAGCAUUUAGAGGUAAAGGGCCUUCACGCGUGCAACUCACUGUCAAAUGUUUCCAAGGUGGAGAAUGAGCAAGUGUGGCUGACAGGUGGGGAAGCCGAGGGUCACGGUACCAUGAUAACAGGAGAUGGCAAAAAUGUCGAGAAAUGGGAGCCCUCCUAUCCUGCUGAUGGGGAUGGCAAACCGUGCAGCCACUUUGAAACCCAGUCUGGCUGUUCCUCAGAUAAUCAGAGUCACCGUGGGACCCGGCACUUGGCUCCUAGGUGUCCAACCAAGACAAAUGGAAGCGCGUGUCCAUGGAGGAACUUGCACAUGAAUGUUCAUGGCAGCAGUGUCCGUCAUGGCCAAAAGGUGGAGGAAAUAACCCAGAUGUCCAGUCCAUGUGCCAUAUCCAUGCGAUGAAAUAUGGCUCAGCCACAGAAAAGAAUGAAAUAUUGAAACCUGAUACACAAAAUCGAUGAACCUGCAGACAUGACACUAAAUGGAAGAAGCCAGUCACGAAAGGCCACCUAUUGCAUGAUUCCCUUCAUAUGAAAUCCACAGAGAUAGAAAAUAGCUCUUAAUCCCCUUCACCCAUUUCGCCUGAACUUGGUUCUAUUUCUGAUGUGUCCUCCAGCCGUCAGCUGUCGGCUCCUGGAUGGCGUGGCACCAGCAGGGCACUAUCCCCGAUGAAUCACGGCCGAGAUGGCCAGAAAUGACAGCCCCCAGGACGGUCCCGGAUGUGAGGAGCUUCUCACGGACUCGGUCGGAGCAGAAACGAUCGCAUCCUGCCUGGAAGGCCGCUUGGCAGGACUGACGCUGAGCUGCGCACACCUGUGAGACCCGCGAAGCCGGUGCAGGGGUCACGACCCCUGGGCUUGCAGUGCUGGGAGGGCGGCAAAAAGUUGGAAACGAUCAAAAGGCCCAGUAAAGGAAUAGAGAUACACAAGACUGAAGGUUUAAACCUCUAGAGAUGGUGGCGCUGAUCCAUAGUGAUAUGUGAAUGUGUCCGUGGUAUUUUGUGACGUGGGGCAAAGGGUCCAAAAAAGCUUGUAUCCCCCGAUCCCAAACAUGGAAACAGGCCUUGGCACGCCUGGAGAUGAGCACCAAGGCUCAUCCAGAGCUAAGUGAAGUGUUGGGAGGUCAGGCGCUUUUUGCUUUUAUUAUUUUGUCUGGGGUGUGUCAAAUUCAAUGUGAAAUGGAACGUGCACGGGUGUGCAAGGGGCCUGCGGCCCGCCAACAGCUGUGAGCAACUGCCGAAGCCACCGUGGGCAUGAAGGCCCUUCCCUCCCUCCCAGCGUGUCUGAACUCUGCUUCCCGGCCCACGUACCCCUCUCUUGGACCCAUCUAACCAACAAAGACUUAGGUUUGGGCUGUUUCCACGUUCUGAUCUCUUCCAAAUUUUUAAGUCAUUGGUUGUUAAGAGUCACUGUAGGGGAGACAGAAAAGCCAGUCCGCCCAGAGUGUGAGUGCAGAAGCCAUUGGUUGGAUUCCAGUUCCAAUGAACUGAGUUGGAUGCUGGCAUGGGGAGGGAGAGGGAAUCGGGUAUUGUGGGGUCAUCACGGCUUAUGCUGUGGGAAAACUGAGAAAGCGAUUCCAACACCUCAAGGAGAAAGUUGCAGCUUAGUGAGACCUGAAGGAGGGGUGGGAUUACACAGCAAAGAUGACCAGCACCGUGGCUUCCGCGAGCGGCAGCGAGAACUAUGGCAGGGAGGUGGGGAAACCAGGGAACAAAGAAAGGUUCAGUUGAACUGGAACGUGGGGAAUACAAGAAGGGCUGUGUGAGAAGGUGGGAGGGCUUUGAGAUCAAGGUGUUAAGAAAUGAAGAGUUUAUUUGUUAAGAUUUUAUUAGAGAGAGGGAGCAUGAGUGAGGGGAGAGGCAGAGGGAGAAGCAGACUCCCCGCUGAGCAGGGAGGCCCACGUGGGGCUCCAUCCUAGGACCCCGGGAUCAUGACCUGAGCUGAAGGCAGAUGCCCCGGGACAUUAACGGUUUAAACGCUGUUCAGAAGAAGAGCGUUUGGCAAACAGGGAACUCAGACUUGUUCUCCAGGGAUUGCAGGUGCUUUAUGAGAAAUUACACAUCUCACACUUGAACUUUAAUUUUUAAAAGACUCAUAAGGGGGCGCUUGGGUGGCACAGCCAGUUAAGCGUCAGACCCUUGAUUUUGGUUCAGGCAACGAUCUCAGGGUGGUAAGAUCGAGCCCCAAGUCGGGCUGUGUCGGGCUCUGGGCUGGGCACAGGGACACGCCUAAGAUGUCCCCAUGCUCAUGUACUCUUUCUAAAAUAAAUCUUUAAAAAAAAAAAAGACUCAUAAGAUUGAUUUAGAGGCCUCCUUAUGCCUGAAUACUACUUUGUCUUGGUGUCAGUGUUUGUAAUCACCAUGGUGCCAGGUUAAACACAGAUGAAAUCGCUGUUUGCCAUACACAGUCUUCACAUUUGUUCCCAUAUUUUGAGUUGAAGACAAAGUGAGUUCUUGCACUGUAUACUUCUCUCACCUCCAUGCAAAUGGGAUACCCGGGUGGGUCAGUGGUUGAGGGUUUGCCUUCAGCUCAGGGUGUGAUCCUGGGUCCGGGGAUCGAGUCCCACAUCGGGGUCCCUGCAGGGGGCCUGCUUCUCCCUCUGCCUGUAUUUCUGUCCUUCUGUGUAUAUCUGUCAUGAAUAAAUAAAAUCUUUUAAAAAAAUAAAACUGAGAAUGUAGCAUUGCCUAGGAAUAUACUUUCUCAGAACCGAUUCUAGAUAAGCCAGAGAACAGAGUACAUCCAUUUUCAUAGAGGAAAUGAGGAAGUCAUCAGAUAACCCACCCAGAAGACAGUCAGAAGGGACCCUACGGAAAGCACCAACUCUGCAGAGUAAUAAUAAUCCCAAAUCUGUUUUGAGACAGGCUGAAGCAGA